rnacentral:rRNA from 1 species
UACAGAGGUGGCAAGCGUUGUUCGGAAUUAUUGGGCGUAAAGAGCUCGUAGGCGGCUUGUCGCGUCGACUGUGAAAACCCGCGGCUCAACUGCGGGCCUGCAGCCGAUACGGGCAGGCUAGAGUUCGGUAGGGGAGACUGGAUUCCUGGUGUAGCGGUGAAAUGCGCAGAUAUCAGGAGGAACACCGGUGGCGAAGGCGGGUCUCUGGGCCGAUACUGACGCUGAGGAGCGAAAGCGUGGGGAGCGAACAGG